rnacentral:lncRNA from 1 species
UUCCAACUGUGUUGAAAAGCUAAGUUUGGGGUAAAAACCCCAAAAGCUCUCAAAGCCCUAGAAAGUGCAAAAACAAGAGAAAAAAAGUGAUGAAUCGAGAAAAAGGAAGAAAAAUAAAAAUCAAAUACUCGAUGAUUCAAAAGAAAGAAGCACGGAAAAGGGUAGUCGGUAAAAAAAAUUCAAGAAAUAAGAAAAGAAAACCGAGGAAAUAAAAGAAACAACACAGGAUAUAACAUCGACUAUGAGCCAAAAG